UACGUAGGGUGCGAGCGUUGUCCGGAAUUAUUGGGCGUAAAGAGCUCGUAGGCGGUGUGUCACGUCGGCCGUGAAAACCUGCAGCUUAACUGUGGGCGUGCGGUCGAUACGGGCAUCACUGGAGUUCGGCAGGGAGACUGGAAUUCCUGGUGUAGCGGUGAAAUGCGCAGAUAUCAGGAGGAACACCGGUGGCGAAGGCGGGUCUCUGGGCCGAUACUGACGCUGAGGAGCGAAAGCGUGGGGAGCAAACAGGAU
rnacentral:rRNA from 1 species